CUUUAAACAUAGAGCUGUUUCCCUCAUAAGUUCCUUCUCUGCUACCAUAUGCAGUCUUAGUCUUACAGUGUAGACUUAAAAUCUUUCCUAUUUUAUCCUAGGUUAUAAUUUAGAUUUUGAUGUAAUGCACUGUAUAACCCACUGAGGGGUUUGGAUGUGAUUUAAUUUUUGCGAACCAGAAUUCACGUAUUACCAGGUGCUUUUAGGAAAAUGUGGGAGGGAACAGUCUUGUGUCCCAUUUUCAAUUCAUCAUACUAUUCUUAAAAGCACACCUCUGCGUAUGGACAGGAAAUGCCAGAAGAGAAAGAGGAAGGCUGGCAUUUUUGCUAGGACGAGGAUUGUUUUCUUUCAACACUAACCCAAGACUGGGUGCUGGCCAGGAAAAACUGAGAAUAAGAAAGGGAAUUAACUAGGAGGAGCCAUUUUGCAAAAGCGAAGGGCUCCUUUUGCUGGUGAGUUAACUUCAAUUAUUUCUUUACUCUUUAUUUUUAAUUUUAGCAGUCUUUGUUCAGCGCCCUAACCUUCUAAUGACUUCUUUUCUUGUUCAACACAAAGGCACUCUCCCUGUCUAUCACAUCUCUAGCCUUCUCCCUGCACAACUAAUAGAGCAGACAAUGAUUUUAUUAAACAAUGUGGCAAUUUUCAAAGGCUCACCCCAUCCUCUAACCUGGCUAAAUAACAAACACUCUUGUUGCAUAAUCUGCACUGCUUUUCUCUCUCCUCAGAGACACACAGAAUACUGAUUGAGGCCAGGACAACUGGAUACCCAGGGUCACCAGAGAGCGCUCUUCAGUGUAUGCUAAUUCCAUUUCAGAGUUCUUCGUGCAGCCCUUGGGAGGACAGUGGUGUGACAAAGCAUACUGGAGAGAGGUUUAACCGUUUUUGGCUCUGAAUUCUUUCUUCACAAGAAUCAUUUUGGUGACAUUACCACUUAGGGCCAUACACAGUGGCCCUACAGAGCAUUCUCAGGGCUGUUCCUUCCCUCCUUAAAUACACAUCUACCCAACAAAAAUUCACCUUGUUUUCACCACAGAGCAGUCCUCCAAGAGAUGACAGCCAGACCGAACAAAAAGAAGAUAAAAUAAGACAAGGUAAAAACCUUCAUAUCCAGGUGGGAUAAGGUGGCUCAAUUGGAGGAAGAGUCUCAAGAGAAGGCAAAAGAGUGAGUGACAACCUGGUCACAUAGUAAGGAGUCUCACCAAAGCACCAAUCAAACAGCCAUAACACAUGUGCAGAGAAUACGGUACAAAUACAGGCAGGCCUGGUACUCGCAGCUUCAGUCUCUGUGAGCUCUUAUGAGCCCUUCUUAGUUGAUUUGGUGGACCACGUUCUUCUGCCAUCCUGUGAUCCCUCUGAUUCCUAUGGUCUUUUCUCCUCACUCCUUCAGUGGGGUUCCCCAAGUUUUGAGGCUGAGGGAUAGACUUGAUGGAGACUUUCAAUUUAUAUUCUCUACCUCUAAUAAUGUACGGCUGAGUCUCUGCACCCACUCUCACAUGCCGCCAGAAGAUCCUCUGUGAUGACAGCUAGAUAAGACACCUUUCUAUAAGUAUAGAAGAAUAUGAUUAGGAAUCAUUUCAUUGACCUUUUUCUUUUUCUCUUUCUCUUCCUUCCUUCCUUCCU